GUACAUCCAGAGAACUUAGGCAGAGAUGCUUUGGUGCCUUCGGGAACUCUGAGACAGGUGCUGCAUGGCUGUCGUCAGCUCGUGUUGUGAAAUGUUGGGUUAAGUCCCGCAACGAGCGCAACCCUUAUCCUUUGUUGCCAGCGGUUCGGCCGGGAACUCAAAGGAGACUGCCGGUGAUAAACCGGAGGAAGGUGGGGAUGACGUCAAGUCAUCAUGGCCCUUACGGCCAGGGCUACACACGUGCUACAAUGGCGCAUACAAAGAGAAGCGACCUCGCGAGAGCAAGCGGACCUCAUAAAGUGCGUCGUAGUCCGGAUUGGAGUCUGCAACUCGACUCCAUGAAGUCGGAAUCGCUAGUAAUCGUAGAUCAGAAUGCUACGGUGAAUACGUUCCCGGGCCUUGUACACACCGCCCGUCACACCAUGGGAGUGGGUUGCAAAAGAAGUAGGUAGCUUAACCUUCGGGAGGGCGCUUACCACUUUGUGAUUCAUGACUGGGGUGAAGUCGUAACAAGGUAAGCGUAGCGAG
rnacentral:rRNA from 1 species